rnacentral:rRNA from 1 species
UACGUAGGGUGCGAGCGUUGUCCGGAAUUACUGGGCGUAAAGCGUGCGCAGGCGGUUCGCUAAGACAGAUGUGAAAUCCCCGGGCUUAACCUGGGAACUGCAUUUGUGACUGGCGGGCUAGAGUAUGGCAGAGGGGGGUAGAAUUCCACGUGUAGCAGUGAAAUGCGUAGAGAUGUGGAGGAAUACCGAUGGCGAAGGCAAUCCCCUGGGCCUGCACUGACGCUCAUGCACGAAAGCGUGGGGAGCAAACAGG